UAACAAGGAUUCCCCUAGUAACUGCGAGUGAAGCGGGAAAAGCUCAAAUUUAAAAUCUGGCGGUCUUUGGCCGUCCGAGUUGUAGUCUGGAGAAGUGCUUUCCGCGCUGGACCGUGUACAAGUCUCUUGGAACAGAGCGUCAUAGAGGGUGAGAAUCCCGUCUUUGACACGGACUACCAGUGCUUUGUGAUGCGCUCUCAAAGAGUCGAGUUGUUUGGGAAUGCAGCUCAAAAUGGGUGGUAAAUUCCAUCUAAAGCUAAAUAUUGGCGAGAGACCGAUAGCGAACAAGUACCGUGAGGGAAAGAUGAAAAGCACUUUGGAAAGAGAGUUAAACAGUACGUGAAAUUGCUGAAAGGGAAACGCUUGAAGUCAGUCGCGUUGGCCAGGACUCAGCCUUGCUUUUCGCUUGGUGCAUUUUCUGGUUGACGGGCCAGCAUCGAUUUUGACCACUGGAAAAAGGCUAGGGGAAUGUGGCACCUUCGGGUGUGUUAUAGCCCUUAGUCACAUACAGUGGUUGGGAUCGAGGACCGCAGCACGCCUUUAUGGCCGGGGUUCGCCCACGUUCGUGCUUAGGAUGCUGGCGUAAUGGCUUUAAACGACCCGUCUUGAAACACGGACCAAGGAGUCUAACAUGCCUGCGAGUGUUUGGGUGGAAAACCCGAGCGCGUAAUGAAAGUGAAAGUUGAGAUCCCUGUCGUGGGGAGCAUCGACGCCCGGACCUGAACUUCGGUGAUGGAUCUGCGGUAGAGCAUGUAUGUUGGGACCCGAAAGAUGGUGAACUAUGCCUGAAUAGGGUGAAGCCAGAGGAAACUCUGGUGGAGGCUCGUAGCGAUUCUGACGUGCAAAUCGAUCGUCAAAU
rnacentral:rRNA from 1 species